rnacentral:rRNA from 1 species
UGGGGAAUAUUGCACAAUGGGCGGAAGCCUGAUGCAGCGACGCCGCGUGGGGGAUGAAGGCCUUCGGGUUGUAAACUCCUUUCGACAGGGACGAAGCUUUUGUGACGGUACCUGUAUAAGAAGCACCGGCUAACUACGUGCCAGCAGCCGCGGUAAUACGUAGGGUGCGAGCGUUGUCCGGAAUUACUGGGCGUAAAGAGCUCGUAGGUGGUUUGUCGCGUCGUCUGUGAAAUUCCGGGGCUUAACUCCGGGCGUGCAGGCGAUACGGGCUGACUUGAGUGCUGUAGGGGAGACUGGAAUUCCUGGUGUAGCGGUGAAAUGCGCAGAUAUCAGGAGGAACACCGAUGGCGAAGGCAGGUCUCUGGGCAGUAACUGACGCUGAGGAGCGAAAGCAUGGGUAGCGAACAGGAUUAGAUACCCUGGUAGUCCAUGCCGUAAACGGUGGGCGCUAGGUGUAGGGGGCUUCCACGUCUUCUGUGCCGUAGCUAACGCAUUAAGCGCCCCGCCUGGGAGUACGGCCGCAAGCU